AACGAACGCUGGCGGCAGGCUUAACACAUGCAAGUCGAACGGUUGUAGCAAUACAGCAGUGGCAGACGGGUGAGUAACACGUGGGAACCUUCCUAGGGGUACGGAACAACUCAGGGAAACUUGAGCUAAUACCGUAUACGUCCGUGAGGAGAAAGAUUUAUCGCCCUUAGACGGGCCCGCGUAGGAUUAGGUAGUUGGUGGGGUAAUGGCCUACCAAGCCUACGAUCCUUAGCUGAUCUGAGAGGAUGAUCAGCCACACUGGGACUGAGACACGGCCCAGACUCCUACGGGAGGCAGCAGGUGGGGAAUCUUGGACAAUGGGCGCAAGCCUGAUCCAGCCAUG
rnacentral:rRNA from 1 species